GAUGAACGCUGGCGGAAUGCUUUACACAUGCAAGUCGAACGGCAGCACGGGAGCAAUCCUGGUGGCGAGUGGCGAACGGGUGAGUAAUAUAUCGGAACGUGCCCAGUCGUGGGGGAUAACGUAGAGAAAUUUACGCUAAUACCGCAUACGAUCUACGGAUGAAAGCGGGGGAUCGCAAGACCUCGCGCGAUUGGAGCGGCUGAUAUCAGAGUAGGUUGUUGGUGAAGUAAAAGCGCACCAAGCCGACGAUCUGUAGCUGGUUUGAGAGAACGACCAGCCACACUGGGACUGAGACACGGCCCAGACUCCUACGGGAGGCAGCAGUGGGGAAUUUUGGACAAUGGGCGAAAGCCUGAUCCAGCAAUGCCGCGUGCAGGACGAAGGCCUUCGGGUUGUAAACUGCUUUUGUACGGAACGAAACAGUCUUUUCUAAUACAGGAGGCUAAUGACAGUACCGUAAGAAUAAGCACCGGCUAACUACGUGCCAGCCGCCGCUGUAA
rnacentral:rRNA from 1 species